AACGAACGCUGGCGGCAGGCCUAACACAUGCAAGUCGAACGCCCCGCAAGGGGAGUGGCAGACGGGUGAGUAACGCGUGGGAAUCUACCCAGAACUACGGAACAACUGAGGGAAACUUCAGCUAAUACCGUAUACGCCCUACGGGGGAAAGAUUUCUCGGUUCUGGAUGAGCCCGCGUUAGAUUAGCUAGUUGGUGAGGUAACGGCUCACCAAGGCGACGAUAUAUAGCUGGUAUGAGAGGAUGAUCAGCCACACUGGGACUGAGAAACGGCCCAGACUCCUACGGGAGGCAGCAGUGGGGAAUAUUGGAAAAUGGGCGCAAGCCUGAUCCAGCCAUGCCGCGUGAGUGAUGAAGGCCUUAGGGUUGUAAAGCUCUUUCAGUGGGGACGAUAAUGACGGUACCCACAGAAGAAGCCCCGGCUAACUUCGUGCCAGCCGCCGCGGUAAAAC
rnacentral:rRNA from 1 species